rnacentral:rRNA from 1 species
CCUUGGGUCUCAGAGAGUUUGAUCCUGGCUUAGGAUGAACGCUAGCGGCAGGCCUAACACAUGCAAGUCGCGGGGCAGCACGGGUAGCAAUACCUGGUGGCGACCGGCGCACGGGUGCGUAACGCGUAUGCAACCUGCCCCCAUCAGGGGAAUAGCCCGCCGAAAGGCGGAUUAAUGCCCCAUAGGCCCAGGGCGCCGCAUGGCGCUAUGGGUAAAGCUCCGGCGGAUGGGGAUGGGCAUGCGUGCCAUUAGCUAGUUGGGGCGGUAACGGCGCACCAAGGCGACGAUGGCUAGGGGGUCUGAGAGGAUGGUCCCCCACACUGGUACUGAGACACGGACCAGACUCCUACGGGAGGCAGCAGUGAGGAAUAUUGGUCAAUGGGCGGAAGCCUGAACCAGCCAAUGCCGCGUGCAGGAUGACGGCCCUACGGGUUGUAAACUGCUUUUCCCCGGGAAGAAUAAGCCCCUCGUGAGGGGUGAUGCCGGUACCGGGGGAAUAAGGAUCGGCUAACUCCGUGCCAGCCGCCGC